AGUGAACGCUGGCGGUAGGCCUAACACAUGCAAGUCGAACGGCAGCACAGUAAGAGCUUGCUCUUACGGGUGGCGAGUGGCGGACGGGUGAGGAAUACAUCGGAAUCUACUUUUUCGUGGGGGAUGACGUAGGGAAACUUACGCUAAUACCGCAUACGACCUACGGGUGAAAGCAGGGGAUCUUCGGACCUUGCGCGAUUGAAUGAGCCGAUGUCGGAUUAGCUAGUUGGCGGGGUAAAGGCCCACCAAGGCGACGAUCCGUAGCUGGUCUGAGAGGAUGAUCAGCCACACUGGAACUGAGACACGGUCCAGACUCCUACGGGAGGCAGCAGUGGGGAAUAUUGGACAAUGGGCGCAAGCCUGAUCCAGCCAUACCGCGUGGGUGAAGAAGGCCUUCGGGUUGUAAAGCCCUUAUGUUGGGAAAGAAAAGCAGCAGGUUAAUACCCCGCUGUUCUGACGGUACCCAAAGAAUAAGCACCGGCUAACUUCGUG
rnacentral:rRNA from 1 species